rnacentral:rRNA from 1 species
UACGGGGGGGGCAAGCGUUGUUCGGAAUUACUGGGCGUAAAGGGCUCGUAGGCGGCCAACUAAGUCAGACGUGAAAUCCCUCGGCUUAACCGGGGAACUGCAUCUGAUACUGGAUGGCUUGAGAUUGGGAGAGGGAUGCGGAAUUCCAGGUGUAGCGGUGAAAUGCGUAGAUAUCUGGAGGAACACCGGUGGCGAAGGCGGCAUCCUGGACCGAUAUUGACGCUGAUGCGCGAAAGCCAGGGGAGCAAACGGG